CAACGGAUAUCUCGGCUCUCGCCACGAUGAAGAAUGUAGCGAAAUGCGAUACUUAGUGUGAAUUGCAGAAUCCCGUGAAUCAUCAAGUCUUUGAACGCAAGUUGCGCCCGAGGCCUCGGCCAAGGGCACGUCUGCUUGGGCGUCGC
rnacentral:rRNA from 2 species